UACGGGGGGUCCAAGCGUUGUCCGGAUUCCUUGGGCGUAAAGCGCUCGUAGGCGGUUCGGUCAGUCGGGUGUGCAAUCUCCGUGCUCAACACGGAGCGGCCACCUGAUACUGCCGUGACUCGAGUCCGGUAGGGGAGUGUGGAAUUCCCGGUGUAGCGGUGAAAUGCGUAGAGAUGUGGAGGAACACCGAUGGCGAAGGCAGCCCCCUGGGCCAACACUGACGCUCAGGCACGAAAGCGUGGGGAGCAAACAGG
rnacentral:rRNA from 1 species